AUACGGAGGGGGUUAGCGUUGUUCGGAAUUACUGGGCGUAAAGCGCACGUAGGCGGAUUGGAAAGUUGGGGGUGAAAUCCCAGGGCUCAACCCUGGAACUGCCUCCAAAACUAACAGUCUAGAGAUCGAGAGAGGUGAGUGGAAUUCCAAGUGUAGAGGUGAAAUUCGUAGAUAUUUGGAGGAACACCAGUGGCGAAGGCGGCUCACUGGCUCGAUACUGACGCUGAGGUACGAAAGUGUGGGGAGCAAACAGGAUUAGAAACCCUAGUAGUCC
rnacentral:rRNA from 1 species